UACGUAGGGUGCGAGCGUUGUCCGGAAUUACUGGGCGUAAAGAGCUCGUAGGUGGUUUGUCGCGUUGUUCGUGAAAACCGGGGGCUUAACCCUCGGCGUGCGGGCGAUACGGGCAGACUUGAGUACUGCAGGGGAGACUGGAAUUCCUGGUGUAGCGGUGGAAUGCGCAGAUAUCAGGAGGAACACCGGUGGCGAAGGCGGUGCUCUGGGCCAGUAUUGACGCUGAGGAGCGAAAGCGUGGGGAGCGAACAGG
rnacentral:rRNA from 1 species